rnacentral:rRNA from 1 species
CCGGCGCACGGGUGAGUAACGCGUAUGCAACUUACCUAUCAGGAGGGGAGAACCCGGCGAAAGUCGGACUAAUACCGCAUGAAGCAGGGGCCCCGCAUGGGGAUAUUUGCUAAAGAUUCAUCGCUGAUAGAUAGGCAUGCGUUCCAUUAGGCAGUUGGCGGGGUAACGGCCCACCAAACCGACGAUGGAUAGGGGUUCUGAGUGGAAGGUCCCCCACAUUGGUACUGAGACACGGACCAA